CCUACGGGUGGCAGCAGUGAGGAAUAUUGGUCAAUGGACGAGAGUCUGAACCAGCCAAGUAGCGUGAAGGAUGACUGCCCUAUGGGUUGUAAACUUCUUUUAUAUGGGAAUAAAAUGUUCCACGUGUGGGAUUUUGUAUGUACCAUAUGAAUAAGGAUCGGCUAACUCCGUGCCAGCAGCCGCGGUAAUACGGAGGAUCCGAGCGUUAUCCGGAUUUAUUGGGUUUAAAGGGAGCGUAGGUGGAUUGUUAAGUCAGAUGUGAAAGUUUGCGGCUCAACCGUAAAAUUGCAGUUGAAACUGGCAGUCUUGAGUACAGUAGAGGUGGGCGGAAUUCGUGGUGUAGCGGUGAAAUGCUUAGAUAGCACGAAGAACUCCGAUUGCGAAGGCAGUUCACUGGACUGCAACUGACACUGAGGCUCGAAAGUGUGGGUAUCAAACAGGAUUAGAUACCCGGGUAGUC
rnacentral:rRNA from 1 species